rnacentral:rRNA from 1 species
GGUUAAGCGACUAAGCGUACACGGUGGAUGCCCUGGCAGUCAGAGGCGAUGAAGGACGUGCUAAUCUGCGAUAAGCGUCGGUAAGGUGAUAUGAACCGUUAUAACCGGCGAUUUCCGAAUGGGGAAACCCAGUGUGAUUCGUCACACUAUCAUUAACUGAAUCCAUAGGUUAAUGAGGCGAACCGGGGGAACUGAAACAUCUAAGUACCCCGAGGAAAAGAAAUCAACCGAGAUUCCCCCAGUAGCGGCGAGCGAACGGGGAGCAGCCCAGAGCCUGAAUCAGUGUGUGUGUUAGUGGAAGCGUCUGGAAAGGCGCGCGAUACAGGGUGACAGCCCCGUACACAAAAAUGCACAUACUGUGAGCUCGAUGAGUAGGGCGGGACACGUGGUAUCCUGUCUGAAUAUGGGGGACCAUCCUCCAAGGCUAAAUACUCCUGACUGACCGAUAGUGAACCAGUACCGUGAGGGAAAGGCGAAAAGAACCCCGGCGAGGGGAGUGAAAAAGAACCUGAAACCGUGUACGUACAAGCAGUGGGAGCACAGAGCAAUCUGUGUGACUGCGUACCUUUUGUAUAAUGGGUCAGCGACUUAUAUUCUGUAGCAAGGUUAACCGAAUAGGGGAGCCGAAGGGAAACCGAGUCUUAACUGGGCGUUAAGUUGCAGGGUAUAGACCCGAAACCCGGUGAUCUAGCCAUGGGCAGGUUGAAGGUUGGGUAACACUAACUGGAGGACCGAACCGACUAAUGUUGAAAAAUUAGCGGAUGACUUGUGGCUGGGGGUGAAAGGCCAAUCAAACCGGGAGAUAGCUGGUUCUCCCCGAAAGCUAUUUAGGUAGCGCCUCGUGAAUUCAUCUCCGGGGUAGAGCACUGUUUCGGCAAGGGGGUCAUCCCGACUUACCAACCCGAUGCAAACUGCGAAUACCGGAGAAUGUUAUCACGGGAGACACACGGCGGGUGCUAACGUCCGUCGUGAAGAGGGAAACAACCCAGACCGCCAGCUAAGGUCCCAAAGUCAUGGUUAAGUGGGAAACGAUGUGGGAAGGCCCAGACAGCCAGGAUGUUGGCUUAGAAGCAGCCAUCAUUUAAAGAAAGCGUAAUAGCUCACUGGUCGAGUCGGCCUGCGCGGAAGAUGUAACGGGGCUAAACCAUGCACCGAAGCUGCGGCAGCGACGCUGAUGCGUUGUUGGGUAGGGGAGCGUUCUGUAAGCCUGUGAAGGUGUGCUGUGAGGCAUGCUGGAGGUAUCAGAAGUGCGAAUGCUGACAUAAGUAACGAUAAAGCGGGUGAAAAGCCCGCUCGCCGGAAGACCAAGGGUUCCUGUCCAACGUUAAUCGGGGCAGGGUGAGUCGACCCCUAAGGCGAGGCCGAAAGGCGUAGUCGAUGGGAAACAGGUUAAUAUUCCUGUACUUGGUGUUACUGCGAAGGGGGACGGAGAAGGCUAUGUUGGCCGGGCGACGGUUGUCCCGGUUUAAGCGUGUAGGCUGGUUUUCCAGGCAAAUCCGGAAAAUCAAGGCUGAGGCGUGAUGACGAGGCACUACGGUGCUGAAGCAACAAAUGCCCUGCUUCCAGGAAAAGCCUCUAAGCAUCAGGUAACAUCAAAUCGUACCCCAAACCGACACAGGUGGUCAGGUAGAGAAUACCAAGGCGCUUGAGAGAACUCGGGUGAAGGAACUAGGCAAAAUGGUGCCGUAACUUCGGGAGAAGGCACGCUGAUAUGUAGGUGAAGUCCCUCGCGGAUGGAGCUGAAAUCAGUCGAAGAUACCAGCUGGCUGCAACUGUUUAUUAAAAACACAGCACUGUGCAAACACGAAAGUGGACGUAUACGGUGUGACGCCUGCCCGGUGCCGGAAGGUUAAUUGAUGGGGUCAGCGCAAGCGAAGCUCUUGAUCGAAGCCCCGGUAAACGGCGGCCGUAACUAUAACGGUCCUAAGGUAGCGAAAUUCCUUGUCGGGUAAGUUCCGACCUGCACGAAUGGCGUAAUGAUGGCCAGGCUGUCUCCACCCGAGACUCAGUGAAAUUGAACUCGCUGUGAAGAUGCAGUGUACCCGCGGCAAGACGGAAAGACCCCGUGAACCUUUACUAUAGCUUGACACUGAACAUUGAGCCUUGAUGUGUAGGAUAGGUGGGAGGCUUAGAAGUGUGGACGCCAGUCUGCAUGGAGCCGACCUUGAAAUACCACCCUUUAAUGUUUGAUGUUCUAACGUUGACCCGUAAUCCGGGUUGCGGACAGUGUCUGGUGGGUAGUUUGACUGGGGCGGUCUCCUCCUAAAGAGUAACGGAGGAGCACGAAGGUUGGCUAAUCCUGGUCGGACAUCAGGAGGUUAGUGCAAUGGCAUAAGCCAGCUUGACUGCGAGCGUGACGGCGCGAGCAGGUGCGAAAGCAGGUCAUAGUGAUCCGGUGGUUCUGAAUGGAAGGGCCAUCGCUCAACGGAUAAAAGGUACUCCGGGGAUAACAGGCUGAUACCGCCCAAGAGUUCAUAUCGACGGCGGUGUUUGGCACCUCGAUGUCGGCUCAUCACAUCCUGGGGCUGAAGUAGGUCCCAAGGGUAUGGCUGUUCGCCAUUUAAAGUGGUACGCGAGCUGGGUUUAGAACGUCGUGAGACAGUUCGGUCCCUAUCUGCCGUGGGCGCUGGAGAAUUGAGGGGGCUGCUCCUAGUACGAGAGGACCGGAGUGGACGCAUCACUGGUGUUCGGGUUGUCAUGCCAAUGGCACUGCCCGGUAGCUAAAUGCGGAAGAGAUAAGUGCUGAAAGCAUCUAAGCACGAAACUUGCCCCGAGAUGAGUUCUCCCUGACUCCUUGAGAGUCCUGAAGGAACGUUGAAGACGACGACGUUGAUAGGCCGGGUGUGUAAGCGCAGCGAUGCGUUGAGCUAACCGGUACUAAUGAACCGUGAGGCUUAACCUU